GAGUGAAGUGGGAAAAGCUCAACUUUGAAAUCUGGCAGCUUCGCUGUCCGAGUUGUAGUCUCGAGAAGUGUUUUCCGCGUCAAUGCAUGUAUGAGUCUGUUGGAAUACAGCGUCAUAGAGGGUGAGAACCCCGUUCAUGACAUGCCUUUUGAUGCUUUGUGAUACACUUUCGAUGAGUCGAGUUGUUUGGGAAUGCAGCUCAAAGUGGGUGGUAAAUUCCAUCUAAAGCUAAAUAUUGGCGGGAGACCGAUAGCAAACAAGUACCGUGAGGGAAAGAUGAAAAGCACUUUGGAAAGAGAGUUAAAAGUACGUGAAAUUGUCGAAAGGGAAACGCUUGAAGUCGGACGGACAGGCAACUGUCGGCCAACAUCAGUUUUGGAAGUCGGAUAAAGGCGGAGGAAGGUAGCAGCUCCGGCUGUGUUAUAGCCUCUGACUGAAUACGAAAUCCGAGACUGAGGACCGCGCGUAAGCUAGGAUGUUGGUGGAACGGGCUUUUAACGACCCGUCUG
rnacentral:rRNA from 1 species